rnacentral:rRNA from 1 species
UACGUAGGGACCAAGCGUUGUUCGGAUUUACUGGGCGUAAAGGGCGCGUAGGCGGUACGGUAAGUCACUUGUGAAAUCUCUGAGCUUAACUCAGAACGGCCAAGUGAUACUGCAGUACUAGAGUGCAGAAGGGGCAAUCAGAAUUCUUGGUGUAGCGGUGAAAUGCGUAGAUAUCAAGAGGAAUACCUGAGGUGAAGACGGGUUGCUAGGCUGACACUGACGCUGAGUGCGCGAAAGCCAGGGGAGCAAACGGG